rnacentral:rRNA from 1 species
GUAUCCCUACGGGGGGCAGCAGUGGGGAAUAUUGCACAAUGGGGGAAACCCUGAUGCAGCGAUGCCGCGUGGAGGAAGAAGGUUUUCGGAUUGUAAACUCCUUUUAUCAGGGACGAUAAUGACGGUACCUGAAGAAAAAGCUCCGGCUAACUACGUGCCAGCAGCCGCGGUAAUACGUAGGGAGCGAGCGUUGUCCGGAAUUACUGGGUGUAAAGGGAGCGUAGGCGGGACGGCAAGUCAGAUGGGAAAAGUGAGGGCUCAACCGUCAAACUGCAUUUGAAACUGCUG